AAGUCAUAACAAGGUUACUGUAGGUGAACCUGCAGUAGGAUCAUUAUUGAAAAAUAGGGCUUUCCCAUUCUUUGGGGCCCGAACCUUCACAUAAUUUCCACACACUUGUGAAUCGUUGGAGCGUUUUUUGAAAAAGAGACGCUCUGGCACCCUUUAAUUAUUACAAACACCGAGUUAAUGGAUGUAGUUGUAAACUUGUCUUUUGACAGAAACAAAAAUACAACUUUCGACAACGGAUCUCUUGGUUCUCCCAUCGAUGAAGCGCAGC
rnacentral:misc_RNA from 1 species